rnacentral:lncRNA from 1 species
CAGAUACAAUAACUGGAGACAUUGUUUUUGUAAUGGAACAAAAGAAACACCCCAAAUUUGAUAGGAGAUUUGGGGACGAACUUUAUGUUGACCACAAACUCAGUUUGACAGAGGCUCUAUGUGGGUUUCAGUUUGCCCUAACUCACCUUGAUGGCAGGCAGCUCUUAAUUAAAUCAAACCCUGGCGAGGUCGUUAAGCCUGGUAAAAUCCCUGUGCAUAUUUAGUUAUAUUUCAGAACCACCUUUCAAGUUGACAUCAUAUUCACUCCACUUUCUCUCCCCUUGCUUGAAAAUUUAGGUCAAUACAAGGCUAUCAAUGAUGAGGGUAUGCCCCACCAUCAGAGACCUUUCAUGAAGGGCAAGCUAGUCAUCCAGUUCCAUGUUAUUUUCCCAGAAUCUGGGGUAUUUUCACCUGAGCAAUGCCGGAAGAUUGAGAGUGUAUUGCCCAUGAGGCCUAGUAAGCAUUUGACAGACAUGGAGCUUGA